CUUUAAUCUAAAUUCUAAUCGAAUUAGAUGCAUAAUAUAAUGUAAUGUAACUGAAAUAUACAGCCAUGAUUAUACAUAAAAAUGAAUGACCCUCCUUUUUUAAAUUACACUUGCUUAGCUCAGUAGCAGACAGACACACACAGACAUCUCAAACAUAUCUGAAUGGAAAUAGACCUUAAAUGGAAACUGGAGUUUUUCCUUUGCAUCUCAUUCCAUCAUGGACUGUUUCCAACACCGUUUCAUCUCCAUCAACACUGCACUUCCCCACUUUGCUGCUUAUGGUCAUUUGUAAUGUAAGCAGUAGCUAACUGGCUGCUUAUAUCAUCUUUUUGCAGAGAGACCAAUUUUUUGGGGCUGUACGGUCCUGUUAACGUAGAUUAGGGCCCAAAAACCAGUCAUCCAUUUUGGGUGUGGAGUUCGAAGGAUCCUUAGGACAUAUGCUUGUCAUUAUCCAUUGAGGAAAAGCUCUGAGUGAGUGUAAGGGAAAUCCACAAGGCAUAUAUCAGUCAUAGACUGGCGGAACAUUUGCCCUCACACAUCCUUUUUCAAAAUGUACAUUCUCAAUAGCAUCCAAAAACAAAUAAUUGCGGUCACGCCGCCAUCUGAAAUGAAUUGCCAGAUUGCCCUCUUAAUACUGCCUCAUUUCAGAUGAAUUUGUGUUGCUGAGUUAUGCCUGAAACCGGCCUGAGACAGAAAGGGGAUAUCAGCACUUCAUCAGCAUCACAAAAAAAAACUUUCUGUAAAAGAGUUUCAUCAGAUCUGGAUACAUCAUCAUGGGAUGAUUAUGGAUGGACUGGAUUUUUUACUAGUAAUUUGUAAUGAUGCAGUGUGGGAUGAAGCUGACCAUUACAAUUUUAAGGCGUUGUGUGGGCAGAGACUUUAUGAUAUGAAUGAGAGAAAUCAUAACACUCAUUGUGGUGCCUGUAGGUUGUAGUUACAAGAUUAAUUUUUUCAUGUUGUUUACUCAUUGGCUGCACCAGCCAGAAAAAAAUAGAUAUUGUUGGUGUGUAAUUUGAUGUAAAGAAGUACAAUUUAUGAUAAUAUUGUUGUCAGAUUUUUUUUCUUUCCCCAUUCAAGUAAAUGGGAGCUGUACUUGAAUUAAUGGAAAUAGCUGCCUGGAGAUGCCCAAGAUGGCUGCAGAGUGGACUGACUGACUGAAACGGGACUUUGGUCUGGGUUUCUGGGGUGUUUUUAAAGAGAACAGCAACCAUACUGAUGUACUCUAUCAGUUUUGGACUAAAGGCUAAAUCAAAUCAAACAAUUUUGAAGAAACACUGGUGUUAAUUUUUUUUUUAUUGUGAUCUAAUAUGCAACAGUGGUGUAGUUCAUUUAUAUCCUAGGCUUUUUACUUUUACCAAUUGUAUUUAGUCUUCAAAAUUCAUAAAAGUUGUGGUUAUUUGUGAAGAUUAUUAUUAUCAAAUUUUCACCAACAAUAUGUUUUGAUUCAGUUCACAUAUUUAUUGUCAUGAUGCACAUUUUCCGUCUCGUCUAAUCACUGACAAAAUCAAAAACCCUUUGUUAACAAACUUUUUUGUCUGUAAUUUCACGACAAGGUUACCAGUGCUUGUGGCUUGGAGAGAGAUUGUAAGUUUGGAAUUUAUUUUCAGCCGUCAAGUUCACUCUGAAGUCAUGAGCUAAGUGGCCUCAGAGUCUUUCAAGGCUCCGGUUCUGUGACUGUGGAUAUGCUUAGUUUCAUUCACUGAGGUGAUGCUAGACCUGACAGAGGAUGGAGGGUCUUCCAGCCAGUGAAAUGUGCUUCUGCCACUUUUGUCUACUAUGCUCAUAAAGUUCAACCAUAUAUGCGUGGACAGAGGCUCCUUGUGAAAAACAAGAUGGCCAUGCAGAGCUUUGCCAAGAGAAACAUAAGUAGACAGAAAAGCGUGCACAAGCCUGAAGAACAUUCUUCUCUUCAUGGCAGAUCCAUCAUUUUUGAGUUCCACAUGGUUUGUGUCUGAAACGUUAUGCAGUGUAUUAUAAUGUGUUGGGUUUGUUUAACCUUUCUUCUCCCUCUCUGAACCUGAUACGUUCCUUUAUUGCUGAUUGACUUGUCUGAUCUAUUUCUUACAUUUUAUGAGUUGGAGUUAUAAUGCAACUUUCGCAAGCAAUGCCACACAAAAAAAUUGUUAUUAAAAUAAUCUGUGCUUUUACAUACUUGAUAUACUUUGAGAAUCUGUCAAAUGUCGUAUUCAGAAUGUUAUAUUUACAACACAAUGUUACUUUCAUUAAAACAGAGAUUAUUUGUGGUGUUCAUUCACAUUUAUGCAGAGAAUUUGAAGAUACAGAUUGUUCUGUUUGAGCCCACAUACAUAUACAUGUGGUUUUGAUGUCAGCAAGAUUCAGUAUCACUCAAAAUGUAUUAUGCUGAAUAAUUUAGAUGCAUGGAAAUGCAAACUCUCAGCCAAAACAGUUUUCCGUCUUAUUUUUUUUUCCCACUCAAGUAUGUUGUUGUAGAUAGUAAUAUCUGACUUGGCUGUACACAAUGGCAAAACCCAAUGUAACACCUUCUGCUUCAGAAAAGCACAUGUGUCUGAAUCAGUGUUAUGUGAUUCAGAAGUGAGAUUUAACAGUGACUGGUUGCAUAGAUGUAUAUUCUGACAUUUAAUAAACUGUUAUAAUGAAGUGGAGGUCCAUAGGGCUUACAUUUUCCCUGAUACAAAACAUAAAAUGUUUGAUUUUAUUAUUGAAAGUUCUCUAUAUGAGAUAUGGC
ensembl:lncRNA